ensembl:snRNA U6 U6 spliceosomal RNA
GUGCUUACUUUGUCAGCAUGUGUAGUAAAAUUGGAAUGAUUAGCAUGACCCCUGAACACGGAUGACACACAAAUUCACGAAGCAUUUCAUAUUUUU